AACGUGCACCGGGGUCAGUGAAAGUCUGAACCGGCGGUUAUAGUCCGCGACCCGUUACUUGUUAACGGUUGAGCUGGUGGAACUCCAGCACCGACGGUUAAAGUCCGGAUGGGAGGCGCACGAU
rnacentral:ncRNA from 2 species